GUUUUAAGAUGGAGAAUCGGAGAUAGCUUUAUAUGUGUUUGUUUAUUAAUAAUUUUUGGAAUCUUUCAACUUUCAAGCCCUAUGUGUACCAUCGAUUAUAAAAUCUUGAUAUGUGUAUAAGUCCUAUCUUAAUUGACAAAAAUGUUAAAUUGAUUGAAAUUUAAACUACAACUUUUUUAUUUGUGUAUGUGAAUUUUCAAUGACUAUUAUCAUUUUUUGGAAUCCGGUCAAGAAGAGUUUUCCAAACAAAGACCCUCACUUUUGA
rnacentral:lncRNA from 1 species